rnacentral:ncRNA from 1 species
CAAAAGCUUGGGUCCUGACUUUACUAUCAACUUUGGCCAAAUUUACACAUGCAAGUAUCCGCAGCCCUGUGAGAAUGCCCUAAAGUUCCCCAACGGGGAACAAGGAGCCGGUAUCAGGCACAACACACGUUUGCCCACGACACCUUGCUUAGCCACACCCCCAAGGGAACUCAGCAGUGAUAAACAUUAAGCCAUAAGUGCAAACUUGACUUAGUUAAAGCCAACAGAGCCAGCAAAACUCGUGCCAGCCGCCGCGGUUAUACGAGAGGCUCAAGUUGAUAGAUACCGGCGUAAAGGGUGGUUAGGAACACCAAAACUAAAGCAGAACGUCUUCACGGCUGUUAUACGCACCCGAAGAUAGGAAGCACUACUACGAAAGUGGCUUUAAUAAAUCUGACACCACGAAAGCUAGGACACAAACUGGGAUUAGAUACCCCACUAUGCCUUGCCCUAAACAAAAGUAGCAAAGUAUGUCUGCUACUCGCCCGGGAACUACGAGCAAAAGCUUAAAACCCAAAGGACUUGGCGGUGCUUUAGACCCACCUAGAGGAGCCUGUUCUGGAACCGAUAACCCCCGUUCAACCUCACCCUCUCUUGUUCCACCCGCCUAUAUACCGCCGUCGUCAGCUUACCCUGCAAAGGACAGACAGUAAGCAUAAUUGGCAUAGCCCAAAACGUCAGGUCGAGGUGUAGCGUAUGAGAGGGGAAGAAAUGGGCUACAUUCCCUGACACAGUGUACACGAACGAUGUGAUGAAAUAAACAUCUAAAGGAGGAUUUAGCAGUAAGAAGGAAAGCAGAGCGUUCCUCUGAAAAUGGCCCUGAAGCGCGCACACACCGCCCGUCACUCUCCCCGAGCUUAAACACUAAAAAUUAAAUAAAACGUAAUAACUGUAAAGGGGAGGCAAGUCGUAACAUGGUAAGUGUACCGGAAGGUGCACUUGGGAAAAC